CUAAGGAAAAAUGUUUGCUUAGGCAAAACAUGGAUAACUGUAUUUGGGAAUGUUUCUGUUUUAUUUAGUUUUGAGAGGUUUAUACCUAAAACUGUAAAAAUCUUCUCUAACAGAAGAAGGGGCCUUAGCUCAGCUGGGAGAGCGCCUGCUUUGCACGCAGGAGGUCAGCGGUUCGAUCCCGCUAGGCUCCAUUGUCAACGAAGACAUAAAAAUAGGCUUAGGAUGUUGAAAGAGGCGUUUAGCUUCUAGAAACUCAACUAGAUUUGAUCAUUGAAAACUGAAUAACAAUUUCUAAAAUAACAAGAAAUAAACCGAGAAGUGGCGUAGUAAUACGUCACCUCAAAAAAAGCGUGAGUAUGAAAAUACUCAAUACUUAUUACCAGAUACUUAAAUGUAUCGAAUUAAAGGUUAA
rnacentral:tRNA from 1 species